GACGAACGCUGGCGGCGUGCUUAACACAUGCAAGUCGAACGGAAAGGCCCUGCUUUUGUGGGGUGCUCGAGUGGCGAACGGGUGAGUAACACGUGAGUAACCUGCCCUUGACUUUGGGAUAACUUCAGGAAACUGGGGCUAAUACCGGAUAGGAGCUCCUGCUGCAUGGUAGGGGUUGGAAAGUUUCGGCGGUUGGGGAUGGACUCGCGGCUUAUCAGCUUGUUGGUGGGGUAGUGGCUUACCAAGGCUUUGACGGGUAGCCGGCCUGAGAGGGUGACCGGCCACAUUGGGACUGAGGUACGGCCCAGACUCCUACGGUAGGCAGCAGUGGGGAAUAUUGCACAAUGGGCGGAAGCCUGAUGCAGCAACGCCGCGUGCGGGAUGACGGCCUUCGGGUUGUAAACCGCUUUCGCCUGUGACGAAGCGUGAGUGACGGUAAUGGGUAAAGAAGCACCGGCUAACUACGUG
rnacentral:rRNA from 1 species